rnacentral:rRNA from 1 species
GAUGAACGCUGGCGGCGUGCCUAAUACAUGCAAGUCGAGCGAACAGACGAGGAGCUUGCUCCUCUGACGUUAGCGGCGGACGGGUGAGUAACACGUGGAUAACCUACCUAUAAGACUGGGAUAACUUCGGGAAACCGGAGCUAAUACCGGAUAAUAUAUUGAACCGCAUGGUUCAAUAGUGAAAGACGGUUUUGCUGUCACUUAUAGAUGGAUCCGCGCCGCAUUAGCUAGUUGGUAAGGUAACGGCUUACCAAGGCGACGAUGCGUAGCCGACCUGAGAGGGUGAUCGGCCACACUGGAACUGAGACACGGUCCAGACUCCUACGGGAGGCAGCAGUAGGGAAUCUUCCGCAAUGGGCGAAAGCCUGACGGAGCAACGCCGCGUGAGUGAUGAAGGUCUUCGGAUCGUAAAACUCUGUUAUUAGGGAAGAACAAAUGUGUAAGUAACUAUGCACGUCUAGACGGUACCUAAUCAGAAAGCCACGGCUAACUACGUG